GGGUAGGUACUCAAGUGGUCAACGAGGUCAGACUGUAAAUCUGAUGCGUCAAUGCUUCGCAGGUUCGAAUCCUGCCCUGCCCA
rnacentral:tRNA from 7 species